AGAAGUUAAUGCGUAUGACGACAUGACGACAAUUACAAAGGUAUUAAAAUACGUAUCGUAACCUAUAACCCCGUCUCCCUCGUAGCCCUCUCCCUCGUAGCCCUCUCCCUAGCUCGUAGCCCUCUCCCUCGUAGCCCCCUCCCUCGUAGCCCUCUCCCUCGUAGCCCUCUCCCUCGUAGCCCUCUCCCUCGUAGCCCUCUCCCUCGUAGCCCU